GGGGGGGGGGGGUGUCCUUCUAUUGCAUUCCUUUGAAGAACUACAGGGACUUAUUCCCUUUUGUUGCACUCAGUUGUUGUGAAGCGGAGUGACCAAGGCGCCCUUGUGUGUCCGUGCGUGGCUCGACGUUGCCACGGCAACGUGAUGCAAUGGCGCCACCUCGUGCCGUAACCAGCAAGAACCUCCCACUGAGGAGCCGUCUGAUCUGAGAUCAGUCUCUUUGACCUUUGAUCUGUGCUAAGUAACGUGUGUGUGUGUGCGUGUGUGUGUGUGUGUGUGUGCGUGUGUGUGCGUGUGUGUGUGUGUGUGUGUGUGUGUGUGUGUGCGUGCGUGCGUGCAUGCGUGCGUGCGUGCGUAUGUGCGCUCAACCCCCUGCGGUUCGUCUUGUUUCUCCCUCUUGUGAAGCGAUUUAAAAACUUCUGGUUUCUUUAAAAGAGUAAACAUUUAGAAGCAAACGAAUCGAAAACUGUACGUUAUCUGUACGUCAUCUGUACGUUAUUUGUACGUUAGCUGUACAUUAUCUGUAUGUUAGCUGUACGUUAUCUGUACGUUAGCUGUACAUUAUCUGUACAUUAUCUGUACAUUAGUUGUACGUUAGCUGUAUGUUAGCUGUACGUUAGCUGUACAUUAGCUGUACAUUAUCUGUACGUUAUCUGUACGUUAGCUGUGCGUUAGCUGUACUCUAUCUGCACGUUAGCUGUACAUUAGUUGUAUGUUAGCUGUAUAUUAGCCUAGCACCACCAGCAGUCUGACCCCUGCUGAUCUCCUCCAGACUCUCUGCACAAAGGUCCUUUAAGCACUUCAUGGAACUUCUCAGUGGGGUUCCCAGUCCCCAUCGUGCACGGCAUCAUGGCUCCGAGUCCCUGGUAGCACCCUGAUCUCCUGGCUGUGUUGUCUCUUUAAAUGUCACGCGGCGUCGAGGUGGAACCAGUACAGAAUUUGCAGCGGACGGCGGCGCCACAAUCAGGGGCCUAGUAGGCUGUGAAGUCAGCACUUGCCACGUACCUUCUGGUUGUAGCCCCACCCACCCCCUUAUAACAUGGUCAGGUGACAGUGGACAGUUUUAGUAAACAUCCCAGUAUGAUUCAAUGCAAAAAAAGGGUAUCAAACACACAUUAUUACAUUGCAGUUAAAUAUUUAACAUUGAUAGGGACAUCUUAUUCGAACAAUUCAGUAUAUUAAUGAACACAUAUAUAAAUAUAUAUAUAAAACAAUAUUCAGAAUAUGAUAUAACUACCAUAUCGUAACUAUUAUAAAUAUCAAAUAUAAAUAUAUUAUAAUAAAUAUAUUACAAUAUAAAUAUAUUCAUAUAAAAUC
ensembl:lncRNA